CCUACGGGAUGCAGCAGUGAGGAAUAUUGGUCAAUGGACGCAAGUCUGAACCAGCCAUGCCGCGUGCAGGAAGACGGCUCUAUGAGUUGUAAACUGCUUUUGUACGAGGGUAAACGCAGAUACGUGUAUCGGUCUGAAAGUAGCGUACGAAUAAGGAUCGGCUAACUCCGUGCCAGCAGCCGCGGUAAUACGGAGGAUUCAAGCGUUAUCCGGAUUUAUUGGGUUGAAAGGGUGCGUAGGCGGUCGGAUAAGUUAGAGGUGAAAUCCCGAGGCUCAACUUCGGAAUUGCCUCUGAUACUGUUCGGCUAGAGCGUAGUUGCGGUAGGCGGAAUGUCUGGUGUUGCGGU
rnacentral:rRNA from 1 species